AAUGACACGCUGCGUAAUUUAGAAGUCGUCAGCUAACUAUCCGGCGACUAUGUCCGACCAAAACCCUAAAAUCAAUUUCCGUCACCCAUUGUCUUUUUGAAGCAAUGGUUUUCUUUGAAGAAAAAAAUAAAGAAGCAAAAUUGUUGCCUUUUGAAGUAAAAUUGAUGCAUGUUUUAAGUAAAUCGGAAGGAAAUUCUUAUCUUUUUGAAGCAAAGAUAAGCGGAAGUGUGAGGCUAUUUGGAGCGCAGUUCAGUCAGUAAUAUUGAGCCUCUAUUAAAAAAGUUUGAGAACUCUCUAUUGUUUGAUUUUCUUGGAAUUCUUGCCUUUUUACAAUAAUUCAAGAACUUGCUUUUUGAAGUUACAUUGUUAACUGAUUUUGGGGGUGAAGCAUAAUUGAUGGAUUGUUUCCUGAUUAGCUAUUUUGCUUUACAUGGUCAAGAAUUUUUUUUGACUUUGAUUGUUUCUUAAAAGUUGAAAAUAGUGUCCUGUUAGAGGAUGGGAUUUAUAUAGUGAAGCGACUAAUAAUGGCAAGUCAUGAUUUGACGCAGUUUUAAUCAUUAAGACUAAUUGCACCUGCUCCACAAAGGGCGUAUGCUAUAUCUGAAAAUUGAUACCAUGAGGUUUAGGAAAAAGUUCCACUUUUCUUGGCGUGUCUUGUCUAAUUCCUAAGCUUACUUGAUGCUUGCAGCCAUGAAAGAUCACAAAGCUUUUGAGUUGAUUCUUGUUUCUGCUUGGCAAAGUUAAGUUUCUUUGUCCUUCCUCACCAAACCACCCUUUUCGUGAAAUUACACAUGACCUUCCUCUUUUUUAACCGCGUAAAAGAAACACUGCGUAGGUUAGAAGCCACACGGUUCAGUUUCUUUCACACCCCUCACCAAAAAUCUCUUUGUGUGAUAUUGCACAUGCACCUCCUCUUUUUGUAUUCUUAUCACUCACUCUGCUUUGUUUUUAUACACAAUGAAGAUUUGGAUGUUUUCAUGCGUUGAUGUUCAAUCAAAUAUGUUGCCUGGCGAGCUAAAGACCCGUUGCUUGGCAUGGCACUUCAGGUGGGUCUAAGAGAUUUUGGAAAAAGUUCCGUUUUAUGGUCCUUUUUCUCUGUCUCAUGGGCAAACUGAUGCUUGCAGCCAUGCUGGGUUUCAUAGCUUUUGAGGUUAUCGUGUUUUGGCACUACGACACGACUUUCUACUUUUUUUCUUCUUAUUGUUCUCUCUGGUAUAACAUAACAAAGCAAUUUAACAUGUUUUUUCUCGAGUUGAGAACUGUUGCUUGGCAUGAGAUUUAGGAGAAAGUUCCAUUUCAUGGUGGUCUUCUUUGUCUCGUAAGGCUAACUGAAUGCUUGCAGCCAUGACAGAUUUCAAAUCCUUUGAGAUGAUUCGUGUUUUUACUUUGUAAAGUUUAGUUUCUUUACUCCCCCUCACUGAACCGCCCUUUUUCGUGAAACUACACAUAAGCUUCCUCUUUUCUUAUUCUUAUUAGUCUCUCUACUCUAUUUUAUAAGCAAUGAGGACGUGAAGGUUUUAUCUUCGGUGUAAUUUCAAUAGAACUUGUUUUCUGUCAAGAUGAUUAAUUUGUUGUUUGGCACGGCACCUCAGGUGGGUCUAUGAGAUUUUGGAAUUAAAUUUCCAUUUCACGGUGGUUCCUCUCUUUCUCAUAAGCCUAGCUGUUGUUUACAACCACAAUGAUGUCAAUGCUUUGGAGAUGAUUAAUUUUACUUGGCAAAGUUCAGUUUCUUUCACACCCCUCACCAAACCUCUCUUUUUGUGAUAUUGCACAUGCACUUCCUCUUUUUGUAUUUUUAUCACUCACUCUGCUUCGUUUUUAUACACAAUGAUGAUUUGGAUGUUUUCAUGCGUUGAUGUUCAAUCAAACAUGUUGCCUGGCGAGCUAAAGACCCGUUGCUUGGCAUGGCACUUCAGGUGGGGUCUAAGAGAUUUUGGAAAAAGUUCCAUUUUAUGGUCCUUUUUCUCUGUCUCAUGGGCAAACUGAUGCUUGCUGCCAUGAUGGGUUUCGUAGCUUUUGAGGUUAUUGUGUUUUGGCACCUCACAACUUUCUACCUUUUUUGUUCUUAUUAUUCUCUCUGUUAUAACUUAACAAAGCAAUUUAACAUGUUUUUUCUCGAGUUGAGAACUGUUGCUUGGCAUGAGAUUUAGGAGAAAGUUCCAUUUCAUGGUGGUCUUCUUUGUCUCGUAAGGCUAACUGAAUGCUUGCAGCCAUGACAAAUUUCAAAUCCUUUGAGAUGAUUCGUGUUUUUGCUUUGUAAAGUUUAGUUUCUUUACUCCCCCUCACUAAACCGCCCUUUUUCGUGAAACUACACAUAAGCUUCCUCUUUUCUUAUUCUUAUUACUCUCUCUACUCUAUUUUAUAAGCAAUGAGGACGUGAAGGUUUUAUCUUCGGUGUAAUUUCAAUAGAAAUUGUUUUCUGUCGAGAUGAUUAAUCUGUUGUUUGGCACGGCACCUCAGGUGGGUCUAUGAGAUUUUGGAAUUAAAUUUCCAUUUCACGGUGGUUCCUCUCUUUCUCAUAAGCCUAGCUGUUGUUUACAACCACAAUGAUGUCAAUGCUUUGGAGCUGAUUAAUUUUACUUGGCAAAGUUCAGUUUCUUUCACACCCCUCACCAAACCUCUCUUUUUGUGAUAUUGCACAUGCACUUCCUCUUUUUGUAUUUUUAUCACUCACUCUGCUUCGUUUUUAUACACAAUGAUGAUUUGGAUGUUUUCAUGCGUUGAUGUUCAAUCAAACAUGUUGCCUGGCGAGCUAAAGACCCGUUGCUUGGCAUGGCACUUCAGGUGGGGUCUAAGAGAUUUUGGAAAAAGUUCCAUUUUAUGGUCCUUUUUCUCUGUCUCAUGGGCAAACUGAUGCUUGCUGCCAUGAUGGGUUUCGUAGCUUUUGAGGUUAUUGUGUUUUGGCACCUCACAACUUUCUACCUUUUUUGUUCUUAUUAUUCUCUCUGUUAUAACUUAACAAAGCAAUUUAACAUGUUUUUUCUCGAGUUGAGAACUGUUGCUUGGCAUGAGAUUUAGGAGAAAGUUCCAUUUCAUGGUGGUCUUCUUUGUCUCGUAAGGCUAACUGAAUGCUUGCAGCCAUGACAAAUUUCAAAUCCUUUGAGAUGAUUCGUGUUUUUGCUUUGUAAAGUUUAGUUUCUUUACUCCCCCUCACUAAACCGCCCUUUUUCGUGAAACUACACAUAAGCUUCCUCUUUUCUUAUUCUUAUUACUCUCUCUACUCUAUUUUAUAAGCAAUGAGGACGUGAAGGUUUUAUCUUCGGUGUAAUUUCAAUAGAAAUUGUUUUCUGUCGAGAUGAUUAAUCUGUUGUUUGGCACGGCACCUCAGGUGGGACUAUGAGAUUUUGGAAUUAAAUUUCCAUUUCACGGUGGUUCUUCUCUUUCUCAUAAGCCUAACUGUUGUUUACAGCCACAAUGGAUGUCAAUGCUUUUGAGCUGAUUAAUUUUACUUGGCAAAGUUCAGUUUCUUUCACGCCCCUCACCAAACCUCUCUUUUUGUGAUAUUGCACAUGCACGUCCUCUUUUUGUAUUCUUAUUACUCACUCUGUUUCGUUUUAUACACAAUGAAGAUUUGGAUGUUUUCAUGCGUUGAUGUUCAAUCAAACAUGUUACCUCGCGAGCUAAAGACCCGUUGCUUGGCAUGGCACUUCAGGUGGGUCUAAGAGAUUUUGGGAAAAGUUCCAUUUUAUGGUCCUUCUUCUCCGUCUCAUGGGCAAACUGAUGCUUGCAGCCAUGCUGGGUGUCAUAGCUUUUGAGCUUAUCGUGUUUUGGCACCACAAAGUUCAAUCUUUCUAUCACUACUACACGACUUUCUACUUUUUCUGUUCUUAUUACUCUCUCUGGUAUAACUUUAUAAAACAAUUUAACAUGUUUUUUCUCGAGUUGAGAACUGUUGCUUGGCAUGAGAUUUAGGAGAAAGUUCCAUCUCAUGGUGGUCUUCUUUGUCUCGUAAAGCUAACUGAUGCUUGCAGCCAUGACAGAUUUCAAAGCUUUUGAGCUGAUUCGUGUUUUGGCUUUGUAAAGUUUAGUUUCUUUCCCCCUCACUGAACAGCCCUUUUCGUGAAAUUACAUAUGAGCUUCCUCUUUUUUUUUUUAUUCUUAUUACUCUCUUUGUUCUAUUUUAUAAGCAAUGACGAUGUGAAGGUCUUAUCUUCGGUGUAAUUUAAAUAAAACUUGUUUUCUCUCAAGGUGAUUAAUCUGUUGCUUGGCACGGCAGCUCAGGUGGGUCUAUGAGAUUUUGGAAUUAAAUUUCCAUUUCACGGCAGUUCUUCUCUUUCUCAUAAGCCUAGCUGUUGUUUACAGCCACGAUGGAUGUCAAUGCUUUUGAGCUGAUUAAUUUUACUUGGCAAAGUUCAGUUUCUUUCACACCCCUCACCAAACCUCUCUUUUUGUGAUAUUGCACAUGCACGUCCUCUUUUUGUGUUCUUAUCACUCACUCUACUUCGUUUUGUACACAAUGAAGACUUGGAUGUUUUCAUGCGUUGAUGUUCAAUCAAACAUGUUGUCUGGCGAGCUAAAGACCCGUUGCUUGGUAUGGCACCUCAGGUGGGUCUAAGAGAUUUUGGAAAAAGUUCCAUUUUAUGGUUCUUCUUCUCUGUCUCAUGAGCAAACUGAUGCUUGCAGCCAUGCGGGGUUUCAUUGCUUUUGAGUUUAUCGUGUUUUGGCACCACAAAGUUUAAUCUUUUUGUCACUACUACACGACUUUCUACUUUUUUUGUUCUUAUUGCUCUCUCUGGUAUAACUUAACAAAGCAAUUUAACAUGUUUUUUCUCGAGUUGAGAACUGUUGCUUGGCAUGAGAUUUAGGAGAAAGUUCCAUUUCAUGGUGGUCUUCUUUGUCUCGAAAGGUUAAUUGAUGCUUGCGACCAUGACAGAUUACAAAGCUUUUGAGCUGAUUCGUAUUUUGGCUUUGUAAAGUUUAGCUCCCCCCCGCGCUCUCUCACUGAACCGUCCUUUUCGUGAAAUGACACAUAUGUAUAUUAUAAACGAUGGUGAUGUGGAGUUUCUGUCUUCCGUGGAAGUUCAAUAAAACUUUUUUUCUCUUGAACUAAUUGAACUGUUGCUUGCACUGCACCUUAGGUGGGUCUAUGAGAUUUUGAAUUUAAUUUCCUUUUCAUGGUGCUGUCCCAUAAAGGCUAACUGUUGUUUGCCUCCACGACGGAUGUCAAUGCUUUUGAGCUGAUUCGUGUUUGGCAAAGUUCAGUUCCUUUCUCACUGAACCACUCUUUUUGUGAUGUUGCACAUGCACUUCCUUUUUUCGCAUUCUUAUUACUCACUCUACUUCGUUUUAUACACAAUGAAGAGAUAUGAAUGUUUUCAUCUGUUGAUGUUUAAUCAAACAUGUUGCCUGUCGAGCUAAAGAAUUGUUGCUUGGCACGACAUUUCAGGCAGGUUAAUGACAUUUUGGGAGAAGUUUCAUUAUAUGGUCCUUCUUCUCUGUCUCAUAGGCAAACUGAUGCUUGCAGCCAUGGAUGCUUCACAGUUUGAGCUUAUCGUGUGUUGGCCUACAAAGUUCAAUUUUUUUGUCACUAAAUCACCCUUUUGGUGAAACUACACAACUUCCUAAUUUUCUUGUUCUCAUUACUCUCUCUGGUAUAACUCAAAAAAGCAAUUUGACAUGUUUUUUCUUGAGUUGAAAACUGUUUCUUGGCAUGGCAUCUCAGGUGGGCAUAUGAGUUUAGGAGAAAGUUCCAUUUCACGGUGCAUCUUCUUUGUCUCAUAAGGCUUAACUGAUGCUGCAGCCAUGAGAGAUUUCAAAGCUUUUGAGCUGAUUCGUGUUUUGGCUUCGCGAAGAUCUGUUUCCUUCCCCCCUCACCAAACCACCCUUUUUGUGAAAUUACACGUGAGCUCCUCUUUUCUGAUCCUAUUACUCUGUUUCAUCAACCUUGAGGAUGUGGAGGUUUUGUUUUCUGUUGAAGGUCAGUAAAACUUAUUUUCUCUUGUGCUGAAAAACGGUUGCUUGGCUCGCACCUCAGGUGGGUCUAUGAGAUUUUUGAAUUAAAUUUCCAUUUCAUGGUGUUUCUUCUAACUUUGAACUAUUUCCUUGUUGUUGCAUGCUUUCCCAGAAUUAUACUAAAUCCUUUAGUAAGUGCAGUAUUGCAUGUGGCUUUAAAGUAGAGUCUCUGAGCUCUUUUUCUGACAUUUCUUUGUUGAAAAUUGUUACUAGAACUCAUGGAAUGCAAAAUGGAUAUUGCAGGGUUUUUAAGUUGAAGUUAUUUUGAGAUAUGACUGGAAGUAUCCAUUAGGAUAGGUAAAAAAGUAAGUUGGUCUUUGUUUUCGCCAUUGUUUACAAUAUGGCAAGUGUUUGUACCUUGGAUUUGAUGAUUGUAGACAUGAAAAUCUUAAGAAUUGUUUAAUACCACAAGCUAUGCUCUCCUCUUGGGUGCAUGGGGACUUAUGUAAAUAGAUUGGUGCUGGAAAUCGAAGUAAAACAGAUGAGCUUAUAAGGAAGAAUUAGAGUAGAAGAUGUCAGUCAGCUCCUCCCUUUUACCAAGGCAAGAAAAUUCCUUGCCACAAGUGAGUCUUGGCUGCUUGGGGACUCACAUAAAUAUAAUGGCUGUAUGGAAUAACAAUACAAGACUGUUCAUGAUGUGCCUGCCACUCAUACCAGGUAAUGAUGACAAAAUGCGUGCAACAUAUUAAUGAUCUUUUCCAUCAUGCAGAAACUAGAGCAGUAAGGAGACUGCAGAAGCUUUCUGGAGUUUCCGCAGCUGUCAUCCCAUCAAUGUGAUCAAUCUUCCACCCUAAGUUGUGGUGAUUGUGUAUUCUUUGAUGAAAGGCCAAGUGUGCAAAUGAAACUUGUUAUUUGUUAACACCUGGGAUAGCAAAUUACAAGCUCAAGGGGAGUGCACAAGUACAUGUGAUGGGGAGUAAAAAGAAGAGCAUGCUAGGUCUGAAAAUGCUUGAAUUUCAACUGAGAAGGCUUGGUGCUUUCGAUGCUAAAGAAAGUAUUAUCUCACACCCCAACAUUGACGAAAUCUUCAAACUCUGUGAGAAUAUACUUAAUAUCUGUGUUAAAGCAUCUAUGCUGGAUAAAUAUUAAGCUUUUUUACCUUGACCUGUUUAUUCUUUUACCUUAAAACUAUUUGCAGUGUGGGCCAACCAUGGGGAUGAUAUGAACAUCCAGUAUGAAGGCUGCAUUCGUGCAAAGCAUAUAUUUGGAGAGUGCAGUAAUAUAAAUUCAUACAUAGUAGGAUCAAAACCCUGAAAAUCAACGAACAUUAUAUAACCAUCAUAGACAAAGAUACUAGGUUUUGGCCAAUUUCAUACAUAUGAAGAGUAAGAAUCUGGGCCUGGAUCCUUUAAUGCUAACUGCACAAUUCCAUCGAUAAUCUAUCUCUAGAUUAAGAUGGAUAUAGCAUACAACUAAAAAUGUUAAAGUCAAGAAAUUGAUAUUAUGACCUCAAACUUUUUCUUUCGUCGAUCAAUCUCACUAUAAAAUCUACAUUGUUGUUUGAUAUGUAGAUGUGGUCACAGAACAGCCCAGGGAGGUUUCGCUGACAGCUGGAAUGCCCUAAUAUGAUACUACUUGAGCAAUUUUGUUGGUAGUACUAAAUAGGUAAUGAUGCUUCUUACCAGCAUUUAGUUGUUACCCAGAUUUGUACAUUAUAUGAAGUUGGUAUCAUUCAUUAUGCUCUGUCAGUUGCAACUUGGUUUCAUACUAAUCGGCCAGUUGAAAUUUUGGAAAGCAUUCUUUAAGUAGUACUAAGCUUCAUGUAUGUGAGCCAUCUGCAAAGUAUUAACUAAACCUAGUAUUAUCAUUUGUAGUGUGCUGCCAUUUUUUUGGAUUAGUUUCUUGUUGACUACUAGGAGAUACUCCCUCUGUUUCAAUUUGUUUGUUUGAUUUUGACUUAACACGGAGUUCAAGAAAAUAAAGAAAGAAUUUUGAAUCUUCUGUUCUUUAAGUCAAGAAAAGGAAAAAACAUUCUUGUAAAAACAGACUAAAACGGAAAGUAAAACAAACAAAUUGAAAUGGGGGAGUACUUCAAUGUUAUCCGAGAAAAAAGUACUUUGAACUAACACACAUAAUUUCUGCAUUAUUUUGUUCUUAGUUACAUGACAGAGUUGCUCUGUUUGCACUACUAAUUGCGAAGGAUGUGACAGUGUACUGGUGUUGAUACAUCCAUAUAUAUUAUUUGUAUAAACCUAGCUGCAUAACGCAUACAUGUGUUGCAAGUAUCAGAGUUUACAAUUCUUGUGUUGGCAUGUUCUAUAUUUUGCGUAUCCUACUUAAAUUGAUUCUCGAAGGCGAUGAUUUGGUAAUCAACUUUGUGAUUCAGUAUCUGUAGUAUUUAAUUAUGAUGGAGAAGGUAGAUCCUUCACAGAAAUUAUAUACAUGGAUGCGGCUUUGCGAACUUUGAGAUCGGUAUGUUUUUGAGCCUACUGAUGGAUCCUGUGUUUCGUGCUUGGAGAUCAGUUUCCGUGCAUGGGUCUGUGAAACUAAUAGGUUGCUUCUUUUACUGUUUGUGAUGUCCUUCCGUACUUAAAUUAUUUAUUAAGCUAGUUAUAUGUACUUGUGUUUUAUGUUAGAUGAGGUUCCAGAAUGCUGUUUGAUUCGUGUCCCACAAUUCAGAAAAUAUUUGGUGUUAUCAGCAUACUAAAGCUUUUUGCUUAUAAGUGUUAUCAGCAUACUAAAGGUUCUAUGCUCAUUCUUUGCUUGGUCCUGACCAUAUUAUAAUCCAAUUCAUUGUCGAGGUCUAUAUAGACACGUCUAGAAUUAAACUGAGCAAUUUUAACUCCCCCUCGAAAGCUGAGUUUGCAGAACGAAACUUUUUCUAAUCAAUUCCAUUUAUGGCAUGGUGUAACUGAAUUUCCCAAUAAGAGUAUAUUUACACAUAGCAGCUAAUUCCCCCAAAAUUUCUUCUUUCUUGAACAGGACAGCAGGUAUACCUUGUUUGAAGGUAAUUUCAGGGGUGGUCAGUUUAAUGGGAAAAUCAUUUUUGGCUUGGUUGUGUCUAAAUCUAUCAGCACAGGUUUGGACAACAGUGCAGGUGCAGGUUCAGGGAUGUGGUCUUUUCUGGAGGGAUUGUUUUGAGGUUGUUCAGGGUUGUCAUAAGUAGAACCUGGUUUGGGGGGGAUUCUGUUCCUUUGGUUGAGAUUUUGAUGGUCAAAAUUACUGAAUAUCUUGGGGAAAUUACUGUCUUCUGUAUUUCCUGCACUUCCAUUGCCGAUGUGCUUUGGUUCCCCUGCAUAUUUGCAUCAACAGAUUUCUCAAGCAAAGGUGGAAAAUUACCUUGAACUGGUGGUACGGUGCUGAUUGCAGAACGAUCAUGCAGCAUUUCUGCAUUCAAUUGUGCCUGCUCAUGCUCCAGCCUCCAAGUUAUGCAUUCCAGAGGAGAAGUUAGAAGAAUUUGGCAUUUGGUUAAUGUUCUCUCCUUCUUCUGCCUGCUUUUCCUUUUUCCAACAUCCUUAUCCCUAUUCUAUGAUUGUUCUUGUUCUGUUCCUCUCCCCAGAUUCUCCUUUGUUUGUUCAAGUGUCAACUUGCUUGAUUUUGCACCUUUUCCUUCAUUCGAAUUAUUGUGUUGUUGUUCCACUGUAAUGUAUUGUGGAAUCUCGUUGGUACUUCCCAGGCGCCCCUCUUGUCGUUGCUCUUUAUCAUUACAGGUCACUAGAGCUCCGGUCAAAUCGCCUGAAAAUUCAUUGACUAUGAUUUUACCGAUAAAAUUACUUGAAAUUUCAGUGAGAUGUUCCUCUAGCAUAGGGGAGCAAUCCCCAUUAAACAUUUCUACUCGAAUCUCCUCCCAAGUACAUCCAAUUUGAAUGCGCGAUUUGGGCGAUUCCCCCAUAAAUCGCCUCUCGAUUUCUCGCGAUUGGGAAGGUGGAUUCAUGUGAUUUUCGAGUAUAAUAUAGGUCUUUGGCUUGUGAAUCACCUUCACCACUCUUUAGAACUUGAAUCUCGCCUGAGCGUGCCAUGGAAAUAAUUUUUUGAGCCCAGUCCAACUCCCUCUCUGAAAUUGCGGCGUAAAUCUCCUCUUCUCUUCGUAAUUUCGAGGAGUUGUAGGAUGAAUCUGAAGAUGAGACUAGAUGGGUUUUGCUCAUAUUAGGUCUGUGCAUCAUUUCCAUUUGGUCUGGCGGUCUGGAAAGCUCUACCGGCGGAAUAUUAGCCAUUCCGGCAGUGCUAGAGCCGUUGUGUAAACUAGCCGUUAGGGUCAAUUUUUUUGGGAGCGUUUCUUAGAGAGAGAAUGUAGAGAGAGAGAAAAAUCAAGAAAUGAGGGGGCGAUGGGGUUUAGGGUUUAGGGUAAAUCAGAUGAUGUUUCUCUCCCCAGGCUAAGUGUGGAAAUGAAACUUUUUCACAUCUGGAAUAGCAAAUUAAAAGCUCAAUGGGAGUGGACAAGUACAUGUGACAGUGAGUAAAAAGAAGGAAAACCAUUCCUUCCAUUUGCUCCAGACCUGAAUAAGAGUCUAAGUUGCACGGACUAUUCACUGUUGCUGUUGCACCCGUGUACGAGACGCGUGCGCGUAUCGCACGCGUCCGAGGGAUACGUGUGGGAUUUGGUCAACCCACAUUGGAUACUUUGACCCCGAGUCCAUAGAAAAAUUUGUGGGAAAAUUGAGAUAUCAAAAAAGAUAAAGACAAUAGAUUUAAAACAUGGUAAAUGACUUACAUUCAAUAUUAUAUUCCUUUUGCCUCCUUUUUAGCUUUUUCCUCUAGGUCAAUAUUUGUUGCUGCAUGUUUUAUGCCUAAUGGAGAGAAACUAAGAGUUCAAGCAGAUGUGUUUGGCUUCUGGUACACAGUAGCAAUGAUCUGUGCGGAGAGCUGGUGGAAUUAAGUCCUUGAAUGCCUUCCGUUUUGUUAUUUUAGGGGAACAACCAAAGACUUUGAAUGAAGAAGUUGGGGUCUUGGGGAAAAUGAGUAAGAAGAUCUUUCAAAAUUUGAAAUAUCUCUAUAGUUCUAUUUUAUAUUUUGGAAUUUUUUAGCCAAAUUCCAGCACCCUUAUCGCUGACAUUAUUCACAUUUUAGGAAAUACUCUACUGGCUAACAAGAUUUAAGCACGUUUUUCAUAAGAAAAUGAUUGUUUAGAUAUGGAUAGAGUGGACAGAUACUGAGGAAUGGGGAUCAACAUAGCAGGCCAACUAAUUCUAGGAGUGAAGCAUAAUUGAUGGAUUGAUUCCUGAUGUUGCCAUUCUAUUUAUUUUAUUUAUUUGCCUAGGUGCAAUUAUGUUUGGAGAUGCAAUUUUUACCAUCAAAAUGUUCUCUCAUUGUUGAAGAGUUGAAGCAGACUUCAGUGUAUUCUAAAAAUUGCAUUACAAGAAAUAUUUGUGUUGGAACUGCACUUGAUGGUAUGUUUAAGAGAGCAAUUCCAUAUUAUUAAUGACUGCACUUGACAUUUUUAUGCAACAUCACUAAGGAGUCAAUGUAUUUAAUGUUAUUUGUACUUGUGGCUUUGUUCACUCCACAUUCCCUUCCCUGUAGGCUUUAGAUCCCCACCUACCUCCCUGAAAGAAGGUUGUUUGUGUUAAUAAUUAAUGAUGACAAAAUGUGUGCAGCUAAUUAAUGUUCUUUUCCAUCGUGCUGAAACUAGAGCUGUAAGGAGACUGCAGAAACUUUCUGCCCGAGCUUCCAUAGCUGUCAUCCCGCCAAUGUGAUCAAUCUUCCACCCUGAGUUGUGGUGAUUAUGUAUUCUUUGAUGAAAGGUAAAUGUUACAAAAUUUCUUGGGAGGGUUAAGGUAUCUUUCUGAUAUUAUACCACAGCUGUCAUCUCAAUUUUUUUUUUUCGGUAAAGAAGUUUGAUCUCAACUCAUAUGCUCUUUCUAGAAAUGACAUAAGCCAGUAUAUGGGGGACAUGAUCCAUGGGAUGUUUUUGGUUCAGGUCUCUCUGAAUUCUAUUAUGAUUGAGAUGAUUUGACACAUGCAUUCUCAUUGUAGAGAAUCUUAAGAAUUGUUUGAUACCACGAGCUAUGCUCUCCUCUAGGUUGGAUGGGGACUCACGUAAAUGGAUUGAUGCUGGAAAUCGGGGUAAAACAGAUGAGCUUAUAAGGAAGAAGAUGAGUAGAAGAAGUCAUUGCUCCUCCAUUUUACCAAGGAAAAAAGAAGUUCUUUGCCACAAGUGGUCUACAAGAAAGGCAGCAGUAAAUAACAACAUUUAGACUGUUCACGAUGUGACACUCAUGCCUGGUGAUUUGUCCUUGAGUGCUUUGACCAAGCUUUUGCUGGUCAUGCCUGAAAUUGGUUACCAAUUACUACACCACUGUGCUGACCAAAUUCAAAACUGGGGAUGGAUCUGCAACUUCCGUUCUCAAGUUUCAGGAUCAUUUACCAAUUACAAUCUUUGUUUAGAUUUUGAUCACACAACGAGUCUGUGGAACUCGAAAAAUUGCCAUUUACCAGAAAUUCCAUUGCCCUAAAUUUUGCAACAAUUUAUCAAAGUUAAACCUAACUCUGAGCAUGAAGUUAUAGGUUUUGAAAAAAAAAGAAACUUAAAUCUGAUUCACCAGAAGUCAACGUCAGUCACACUUCUUGAUGUAAAGUUCUCUUAUACUUGUCUCUGUCAUAUUAUAUAUUCAAAAUGUGAAAGUACAUGUAAAUCAAUUUGCAGAACAGUCUUCGAAGGGAAAGGUAUUGUACUAUUAUUGUACUGAUUAGAGUUGUUAAUACAGGACUAAUUGCUCACCUGCCUUCUUAAACCUUUUACUACACUUUAUAGCUUAUUCUCUUUGACAUCCACAUUCCUUCCUCUGGAGGAUAUAUGCCUGUCUAAAUGUGGAAAACAAAGCAUGACAAGCACUUCUUCUCAUGCUAGUUAUUCCAUUCUGAGGUAUCAAUAACAGCUUAUAUCGUUCUGUGCUCCAUCUUGUUAAACACAGGAAGAAUUUUCAAGGGUUUAAUCCUUUCAAGUGUCAUUUGUCUGCAUUGUCAUUUAAGUUCUAUUUUUGAGGGGUGUUUGCCUCCCUUCUCUGGUAACCCCUGAUUUUUUUUUUUUACGUUUUGCACUUAUGCUAGUUUUGCAUUUCCAUUUUGCUAGUAAUUACUUGUGAACCCCUUUUCGUUUGAUUAAUGCUGAAUGAGGCAGCAGAGAGAAUAAUGGGAUUUCUAUUAGAGGGUGAUUGCCCUUCUCUAUGCUUUGCAUAUGAUUCUUCCAUUUUUCUAAACAAACCAACAGCCCUUGAAAAAAAGAAAGAGACAGAUAGAGUACACUACAGUUUCUGGGUCCCCCCCCCUCCAAAACAAGUCAUUUAGGUUCUGGACUGUGAUUUUCUUGAGCUGAGAUCUAUUGGAAACAACUUCUCUAGUCUCCCACAAUGGACCGGGGUAAGGUCUAUCUGCCAAUGCUAACUUUUAAUCAAUAAUUAUAGGGUAAGGCUUUGAUGAUGACAAAUGAAGUUGUAUAGUGUUGGGUCAGGCAUUGGAGCUACCUUUAUCUUGGCAAGGCAACCGGGUAAGGCAUCUUCGUUUUGCAACUGAGGUCUGCAGCCAUGGCAGUUGUUUUGUCUCCUUUUGCCUGGUUUUAUACCAAAUCUGAGCCUCAGGAAAAAGAAUUGGCAAUACACACAACUAUACUACAACAACAUGAAUAUGAAAAUUAGUGAAGAGGCAGUGAUGAUUUCUGGGCUAAGUAAAUUCGGGCAUUGAGAUUACCCUACCCGUAUCUUGGCGGGGCAAACCGGCAUGGCCUGUAAUUGAGACGCAUAACUCACACAUGCAACUGUGUUGCAUCCAUGGCGUGAUUGGCUUCUCGUUGGCCUUAUCAUAACACAAAUCUGAGCUUCAAUUUUCUAAAGAGAAAAUGAAAAAGGGUCAAAUUUCCCCUUUAUUAUGCAUAAGGGGCAAUAUCUUUUCCAUGAUUAAUGUGGGAGACACCGAACCCACACUGUUUUGAUUUGCAGUUUUAAUGCUUAUUUAUAAUGUAUCUCCAUCUUUUGAUAGCUUAUUCUCUUCAACAUUGAUUGUAGUUGUUAAUAUCCGUUAGGUUUUCACCUACAUUUUCAAACCUUUUACUACACUUCAUAGCUUAUUCUCUUCAACAUUCAUAUUGUUUUAUCUGAAGGAUGAUAUGUCUGUCUAAAUGUGCAAAUCAUAACUUAAUUUGUAAAACUAUUCAUACAUCAGUCAUGUUUUAGGAAAUACUCCACUAGCCUAGAAGAUUCUCUUGCACAUUUUUCAUAAGAAAAUUGUUGUUUUCUUUAUAAUAUUGGUUGUGUAUUUUAUGCGUUAAUCUAUCUGAUGUGGACCUGUUAGAAUUGAUUCAACUAGUUGGUCCAUCAAUACUGACUAGCUCUCAUAUUUUACUCCUUUAUUUAAUUCUAAUCUUUCUUAUGGAAUCUAUCUUAAGUUCUUGCUUAAUGUUGUGUCAUGUUCUCUGAAUAAUGUAGUUGCUACCCAAAGGCCACAGCUUGCUGGUACAGAUGGAUCAUCAAUAGGUACCUCAUCAGUAAAUUGGGUCCUGAAAUUAAACGAGGCUUGCAGGAGUAAGUUAAUACUUUUGAUUUAUGAAUUUGGAGCUACCUUGAUGCUCUCUUGCCUCCACCCACCCCCACAUAAGAAAAGGAGAAAGACAAAUGAUUUAGGAAGAACCGGAAGUGGUUUAAAGAUAUUUUGCUUUAUUCCUGAGGUCUUUUUUUCCAUUUGUAUUGGAAUAAUAACUCCAAUAUGGAUGAGUAUGUCUAGAAUCCAUGCUAGGUGGUGUUCUUAUGUUGACUACUAGGCCAAAACCCUUGGAUGCAGGAUAACAUGAGGAAGUUGAAAUGAAUAAUUAGCCUCCAAAAAGUAUUAUCAUUUACUUGUUCCUUUGAGACAAAGGUAAGCACAAACAAAAGGUUUUGAUCAACAAAUUGUUCUUUACAUGUGAGAUAUGGCUUAUGUUGAUAUUUGUUCGCGUCAAUGUUUCCUAAAUUUGUAAAGAUUAAGAAUUUUUUUGAUCAAGUGUGAAUGUCUUGACAUACUAUUUGAUGUUCUUCACAAGUACGGGAACUUGAUGGACACAGACCAUGCAUCACUGUAUGGUAUCUUUGUUAUCAGUUUCUCUACAUCUUAUGAGCUUUAAAUUUCGAAUAGAAAGUGUAUCAAGUUAAAAUAGUGUUUGUAUUGAUGGCUUAGUCAUAGAGGAUUUGGGAGAUAGUAACAGCAAUUUCCGUUUCAGACAUGGAAACACGAGUCAAAAAAGAUUUCUUCGACUAUCAUGUACAGUUGGAUUGGUCGCCAAGCUUUCAACUUUUCCCGCAGUAAAUUCAGUCUAACCUUUUCUCUAUACAACAUCUCUCUGUCUUCGAGUUUGUCGGAUUAUUUGCUGGCAAAGGCUUAAGUGGUUUGCCUUUUGAGCAAUAAGAGCUCAAAAUCGGACAGAUUAUUGGCGCCUUAAGGUAUCAAAUCCUAAAUCAUAAUUGAUGCUUGCACUAUUCCUAUCAAAUGCCACGUAAUUAUGAUUUACUUGUUUGCGUCGUCAGCUUUUAGACAUGCCCAAGGACAAUAUAGUUUUCUCAACAGUAGGUAUAGACUAAGUGGAUACUCAUUUAGCAGAUUCCACAACCAGUAUUUUUUACCCUGUUGGCUGUUGGAGAGCAUGCUUGUCGCUGCCUUAGAGAAACUAUGACAUAAGUUGAUCGAAAAAAGAAGCCAGGUCAUAUAUUACUAGUGUCAAAAAAAGAAGUCAGGUCAUAUGUUACUACUGUCAUUAAGAGAAGCCAGGUCAUCAUUUGAUAUGAUUUUGACAAUCGGAAAGCAGACAGAGGAAGACAAGGGAAUCGAGUGAAAAUAUUGAAUAUUCAUUUCUUUGGCUCUCGUGUACCAGAAAUGUUCAUAGGAGGAUAAAAGCAAAGUAUGUUCAGUAUAUAAAUAUGGUUAUUUUGCCUGGUCUUCCUGUGGGUUAGUUCCAGAAAGGCUUACUUGUAUCAAGUGAAACAAAAGACAGCUGAGUGACUUGUAUCUGGGGCUAUCUGAUGCAGCUGAUUGUUUAAUGUUUGACACUCCUAAAUGGAGUCUGGAAUUAGAUAAAUGUGACAUAAAAGACUAAGAGCUUGUUUGGAUUGACUUAAAAGUUGAUCAAACCUACUUUUAAUUCCUUUUUCGCUUUUGAGAGAGUUUGGCUAGAUAAGCGUGAAAUAGAAAAGACUAAAAAGUAUGGUUGGAUUGACUUUAAAGUUGGUCAAACCUACUUUUAAUUCCUUUUAGCUUUUGAGAGUGUUUGGUUAAGUUCAAAAUAACUUGAAAUAAGUUAAAGAUGACUUAAAAAAAGUUUAAAGUAGGUACUCCGCUACUUUUCCUUUUUUAACUUAAAAGUUAUUUAAGUUUGACUUUUUUAAAACUACUUUUAGAAAGCUACUUUUUUAAGUCAAGCCAAAAAGUUUAAAGAGUGACACAUGCAUGCUCACUCUUGACCGUCCCUUUUCCAUUUAAGAUCCUCUACUGUUUCCAUCUGAGAUGAUGUGCUUCCUUUUAGACCUUUCCUCUUUUAUUAUCUAUCUAUCUAUCUUGUUGACUAAUUUUUACUUAAGUUUUCUAAUUGUUGUUCCAUCCGUGUUGGUUAAGUAUUUCCAUUUCCAGGCUUUUUGCUAAGGUUUACCUGGUAUAUUUCUUCCUACUGCGAUUAAAUUUUGCAUCUCACCCUGGAUUGGAAUAUCUCACCUAUGAUCCCAACUUCACUGACAAAUAUGGAGGAAAAUAUUUAUGAAGAAAUUCUCGAGGAAGAUGAGUAUGUUCACUUUUAUGCUCAGGAGCUGCUAAGGCCCAUUAGGAUUAUACAUUUCAUAUUCGUUGCAUUUAUCGUCUAGACCGGAAGUACUGUUGAACUUGUAGAUUAUUAAUCAAAUAUUUGAUUUAAGUUCCUUGAACUAGUAAAAUGCUAGAAUCUUGCAAUCGUAGAAUAUACAUUGAUAGAGAAGCCUACCAACUGAAGAAAAUGAAAAGUGUGUGGUUGUGAGAAAUCUUUUUGAGGUUCAGUUUGCAUUCAUUGAGAAAUUAUUUGUUUAUGAUUUCUGGAUUACAAGGAGAAGGAGAAAAAAGUAAUAGGCUGCUUGAAGAUGGAAGAGAGUAUUUGAACUUGAUUUGCUCUUUUGCUUUUCACCUUUGAAAUUGAUCCUUACUCAUUUUUUUUUUCUUUUGGUUGUGGAUAUAUUGGCUCUGCAAGCAAUACAAGCAAAUGUUCAACUUGAAUAAUGUAAACUUUUAGCUCAGUGCUGCUUGGAAAUAUCUCAUUAUUUUACUCUUAUCACAUUGAGUCUACUUCCAAAAAGAUUCAUGAGCACUGGUUGGUUUAGCUAUCCUAUAAAGAACUUUGUUCCAAAUUUUCAAACUGAACCUAAACAUGAUUUUUAUCUGUCUUUUGGAAUGUCCAUAAUAUUGGUUUCAAAAGUUCUAUCUAGUAUUUCUCUGCUCAAACCUUUAUGACUAAGUGUAUUUUUAAUCAUGUAACUAAUACUUGAAGAAUUGAUUUUUCAUGCUCAAACACCUUACACUCCCAAAUGGUGCCUCCAUGAAACAUGUUUGUGUCAAGUCUGUCGCUGAUAUCAAUUCAGCCUAUCAUGUUAAAAAUUGACAUCUCUAAAUAGCUCUGAUGAUCCUUUGUGCAUGCCACAGCUAUUCUUAUAAACCCUAUCCUGGUAUAUUGAGCACAGGUUCCUGGAAGCAAGCCACGGAGGAAUCUGUUGAAGUUAUCUUGUUUGAUGAAGAGGCUGUCGGAAGUUAGAACAGCUGAUACCGUUGGAUGUGCAGCUUUGUGGUUUGUGCUUUUCUUUUUGUUUUUAAUCAUUCAAAGGAAACUUGUUUCUCUCUUUGCUUUUAAUGAGAGAGAAAAUUGUGUGAGUACUGAUCAUUAUAUUACCCACAUCAGUACCCAACUCUAGGAUUUUAGAUCUCGAAAAACUCGCUAUUCUUUUAUUAUAGAAGUGUGAACUGUUAAGAAGCUUGUUUUGCCCAUUAUAACCAAAUUUCAGUUUCACCUUGAUGCUUCAACGAUCAAGUGUGGAAUUGAGAGGUGAA